rnacentral:rRNA from 1 species
AUUGAACGCUGGCGGCAGGCCUAACACAUGCAAGUCGAGCGGAGCGGCGGACGGGCGAGUAAUGCCUAGGAAUCUGCCUGGUAGAGGGGGAUAACGUCCGGAAACGGGCGCUAAUACCGCAUACUAUCAGAUGAGCCUAGGUCGGAUUAGCUAGUUGGUGGGGUACAGGCCUACCAAGGCGACGACCCGUAACUGGCCUGAGAGGAUGAUCAGUCACACUGGAACUGAGACACGGUCCAGACUCGUACGGAAGGCAGCAGUGGGGAAUAUUGGACAAUGGGCGAAAGCCUGAGCCAGCCAUGCCGCGUGUGUGAAGAAGGUCUGCGGAUUGUAAAGCACUUUAAGUUGGGAGGCGUUACCAACAGAAUAAGCACCGGCUAACUUCGUGCCAGGAGCCGCGGUAAUUC